CGUGUAGGCGGUUCGGUAAGUGGGAUGUGAAAUGCCCGGGCUCACCCCGGGACCUGCAUCCCAUACUGCUGAGCUUGAGUACAGGAGAGGGUGGGGGAAUUCCUGGUGUAGCGGUGAAAUGCGUAGAUAUCAGGAGGAACACCGGUGGCAAAGGCGCCCACCUGGCCUGCUACUGACGCUGAUGCGCGAAAGCUAGGGGAGCAAACG
rnacentral:rRNA from 1 species